ACCUCACACACAGGGAGAUUAGACCAUGCUCGCUGCGAAAGGAGGGGUCAGUCCUGCCCUUAACAUUUGAAAUGAGAAUAUAUUGGUGCUGUUGGGGGACCCUCUGUUUGUGGGUUUAGAGACCGCAGCCGGUAUACACAUGCAGGCCACACACACAGUACCAACAAGGUUCACCCUGACGCUUGUUUGGAGUGUUUAGUUGUUUUAAUCUGAGCUGAAUGUUUACCAGCACGUUGUGUUUUUGUUUUGUUUUGUUUUUUGCUGCAUGGAUUUAAUCCCUUUCUCAGCUGACUUCACUGUGACCUGUGUUUGAACAGGCAUGCGCUACAGACCCACCCCGUUUACGCUCUAUUUGCGCUUUAAGGUUUUGAACCUGGAAGUGUUGCAAGGAGUGGGAAACUGACAGUUUGAUGAUGGCAUGAGGUUUGCAUUGUGAUGAGAUUGCAUGAGUUGGAUUUGAUGGCGGUUUUAUUCUAGAAAAUGCGCAAAGCUUUUCAAGCUUCUCAACCCAGCACUAAAGGACUAAGGUCUGUUGCAGUCUAACAAAGGCGGUGUACCUUGUUGGCAUGGUGCUGCGUUCGUGUUUUGCAGACAGAUAGGUUUGAUAGAGCCCGACUGCACUAUUGAAUGACAGAAUUACAGGACAGUCAGGCAGGUUUACCCAGACUUCAUCAUCCUACAAGUUUUAAGGAAUUGGCUGGUCCAUAGUUUCUCAGUGGCAGAAAUGUUCUGGAACUACAGACAGAGCACAACGUAAAGAGAUGAACAAAAGCAAAGGAGACAGCUGAAAAUUAUACCUCUGAAUAAUGCACUUCGACGCCCUGUGAUAAUUACUGCUUUUGUUUGCUUCUUUCAUUAAGAAACUGACAGAUGAUGUAGCGUCUGUACACUCCCCGUUUAGCUCUUUUUUUUUUUUACCUGUUAUUUCAUCCUGGCCCUAAGUGGAAUGAGAAACUGUGCUAGGGAGGGCCAUUAUUUGGGGCCAUUUUGGCACAGCUGAAAAAAAAAAAAAAUUAAAGCCCGUUUUAUGACUUCUUAUAUGCUCUCUGUUGUGGACACAAUGAGUAGGUGAAGGAAGCCAUUAUUUUCCCAACUAUCCUCUCUUAGGAAAAGAACAGAGCACAAAGUGUCGGACAGCUUUUUAAACAAGCUUACAUUGGCCUCUAUCCAAAGGCUGCUAUCUCAGUUGGAUGAUUACUCCAAACGCCACACUUAGCUGGUAAUACUACUUAGCUGGUGCUUUUAUUUUAUUUAUUUUUUUUAUGAGUGUUUUGAUGGAUUUGGACAGAUUCAUUUUGGCUCGCUUCUCUUUCUACAUGCUUUCACCCUUUCCUCAUUGUUUAUCUUUCCUCUCAUCUGUUCUGUAUGUAUGUCUAACCUUUGUUUUUUUUCCCAUCCCAAAUAAACGAAUAAAAUGCCCCGCUAUCUGACUCAGUGAUUCCUAUUAUUUGUCUUUCCGCUUUCCUGUAUUUAGGAAGCACUUUCCCAUGGCUGUGCAGUAGCACCACACAGUGGGCAUCAUUAGUGCUGCGAGUGUCCAUUGCACAUAGUACCACUCAAAAGUUUGGACAUUUCCAUUUUACUAUAUUUUUUAAUAUAUAUUUUUAUUUUAUCUAUCCGAACCAAGUUAACACCAGGCACAUUAAGCCAAUGGCAAGAGAGGGUUAUAACAUAAAUUAAAAUGACCUGAUACCAGAUUUGUAGUUUUGAUGUGAGGAUAUUGAAGAAUAUAGAUAAAUAAAUUGCCAGACAGUUAGUGUUAAGGCAAAUAAUGCCAAAACAAUCUAUUUAACUGAGUUUUUUUUUAAAUACCGUCCCAAUUUCAAACAAAAAUGCUAAGAGAAAUACAAUAUCGUCCGUUUCCUUAUAGAGCGCACAAUUAUCUGGUAUUUACGAGCACAACUUGUCAGCCAUCUCUAACUAUUAGUAACACGAAACUAAUAAAAUGAUUACAUAUGUAAACAUACAAGCAUACAGCUUAUAUACACAAUUUACAAAGCUAGCAUAAAGAUGUUUUAUAUGUUCAACUGGAGAGACGGGCUCAGACUUGCUCCAUUAUCUCCAGCAGACUUCUUUUUUUUUUUAUUCUUGACAUGUGAUGACAUCAUGCCCAGUCUGCCAAUCUCUGAGUCAAAUCUGCUUCUCUUCUGGGAAUUCCUAAACAUGUAGCAGAGAGAGAGACACAAUUUUGAAUACUAUUGAAGAAUUUCUCACCCAUAAAAAUAUUUUAUAUAUAUAUAUAUAUACAUUUUCUAUAUAGUCAUCCACUUCACUAUCAUCUUUAAGAUCAUGGAGAGCAUAUGUUCAGUCAGGUUUGUCUGACCUGUUGGCUGGUACUGUACAGCACUACAGAGCAUUUAAUGUCAAAAUCUUCAGUGUAGAAAUAAAAUAAUCAACCAUCACAUUCAUAAUAAUGUAAUUGUGAUUUAGGGCUUACCCAUGGUUUAUUAACAAGUCCAUGCUUUUCUAACGCCAUCAAGGCGCCUGUGUUCAGGUUUCUUAUUUCAGUGGGUAUGGCUGGAUUUGUAGAUUUCAAGACGACUUUUCUGAUGCAGCACUAAAUGCAUAAACACACAUGGACAUGAUAAAUGCAAAUAGUGAAGCUGACACAUCUGCGAUACAGACAGCUGCAGCAGUGUACUUUUUAACUAGCUGUAUUUUCCUGUUUUUCAUCACUUUCUGCUUGUUUAUUGCUUUGUACCCCAGUGAGCAAGACAUAUUUAGGUGGCCAGAGCAAAGGUCUUUUAAGAAUAUAGAAAAUACCACAAUUGUGGUUGGAGACAAGGUGUCAGAUUUAACAUGGUCCAAAAAAAGAUGCUAAAUGUUAAAUAUCUAUGAUCAGACGUGCUCACUGGGAGUCACAAGCCAUCCUUCAUUUCCCUUUAUCCCUCUAUCUCUGUUAUAUAUUUCUCUGUUCUGUCCUCCCUCCUUUCCUCUCCCUCUGUGUGUACAGUCUUCUUCGGGCCUGUCUGCGCUCUGAGCUGCUGGAGCCUUUAGGUGAGCAGAAGAGACGUUUCAGUGCUUCCUAAAAGCAGGAGACACAUUCCUCCUUCUCCUUCUCCUCCUUCUGGUCCUCCUCCUCCAGAUCUUUCAUCACAUCCCUGUUCUUCAGUUCUACUUUGUUCCCUCUGCCUCUCCAUGUGUUUCUCUGUGGCUACCUUAGAGACCAUAAAGUCAAGCUGGAAUUUUGGUUUCUUUCCCCAGAAGAUGUUGUCACAUUUUUUAGCAAUUACUUAAAGUUUUGCUGGAACUGCAUGCUUUUUCCCUCCAAAGUGUUCAGAUUAGGAAUGGCUCUCGUGUAUCAGUCAAACUGAUCAGACUCUGUGUUAUCAUUUGUAUAAUUGUGAUCAUGCUGCACUCACACUUGAGUGUACAUUUAAUUGAAAUGAAAGGCCUCGUAUUAAUUUUUUAUGUUGUGUCCAUUUUUUAUGCGUGUUUUUAUGCAUUUUUCAUUAUAUUUCAGUUAUUCGGUUGUUUUUUAAAGGGUCCUUAUGAACUGAGCUGGCUGUUGCCUCAGCACUAGAUCGACAUAUCUGCUGGUAUUGCACAGAGAUUACAUUGCACAAAAAUAAUAACAGCCACUCAGCCGAUCACCUCAGCCUGAUCUCUCUCUUUCUCCCUCCCCCUCUCUCUCUCUCUCUCUCUCUCUCUCUCUCUCUCUCUCUCUCUCUCUCUCUCUCUCUCUCUCUCUCUCAUAAUCCUGACUGUCUGAACCAGGAACCAAGCACAUAUUAAUGUUUUUUUUUUUUCUUCAUUUUUCUAUGGGACUCAUGUUGUUCUUGAUAUUGUUUCAGGCUUGUUUUUGCAUCAGUCUUCUUUUAUUCUUGGAGCUGGGCUCAUUUUGUUGUCUAGGGUUUUCUGGGGCAAGGACUUUAUUGAUAACUUUAAUAAUGCUGGUCAUGUUUUAUAAGAUGCACUGCAGGGCAGUUGUUGUUUUCACUGGAUUCUAUGGACAUGUACUUAAGAGAAAUGUAUUUGUGUCUCAGAGUCAGAGAGAAUGAGAAACAAAUGCUAUAAAGUUUGCAAGUGAUUUGCUUGUUUGUGUGUGAUGGAUGUAUAAUUAAUGCCUCUUGCACUUUUGUCUGUAGUUCUUUAAUAAAUGUCCUCUGCAUUUGCCUUUCUAUUCCAUUCCUUCUUUAAACUGAUUUCCUUUCUUUCCUUUAUUAUUGUCUCUUUUUUUCCCCUCGUCAAUAUAUCAUACAGGAUCAUUCUUUAGACUGAAGUUUAUAAAAACACAGUCGAAUGAACAGAAACCUUAAACAAAUGGUCACAGAGUCACAGGCAGAUAGUUAAAGGCAGAUAUUCUUUCAGGCUGCACAAAAAUAUUGAUCUCAAUUCAUUUUUUAAUGCAAUUCGAUCCAAGAACAGCAUUGAUUCUGCAGCCUUUACACUUGGGGGAAAAGCUCCACUAUGCAUCCUGUCAUAUGAUCUCACUCACACUCUGAAUUCUUAAGCAUGCUGUGAGACUUCAGAAGGAAAACGGGAGAAAUAAGAUCUGAAAGUUAAUCUCUGGAGAUAUUUUCCCACUAUUUGGAUAUACAAGUGAAGUCCACUUAAAAUAUUGUAUAUAAUAGCUCAUGAUAGAUACUGACCCAAAAGCUGUCUAAUAAAAAAAAAUCAAUUCAAUUCCAUUCAUAAUGUUUCUUAAGUCGUCAAUCAAUUGUAAUCAAACUCUCACAUUCAAACAGCUUUACUUUAACAGCACAAGCGAGUAUCUGUCAGCUAUCUUUAUAAGCUUUUCACGUUUGCAUCACAUGCGGAAAUAUAUUGCCAUUGUUGUGCCAUGAAUAUACAGGAUGUCCCAAAAGUGUCUACACACAGGGGACUAUGUUUGCCAGCACCACGUCGCUUAUGUCUUCGUCAGUGGAUGUUCGUGGACAUCCAUUUGUUAAUAAGUUUGGCAGCAAUGUCAUGUGUGAUGUGCUCGCCUGUUAAAGUCCACCGCAACCUUGCGACAGCAAGGCAUUCCUGAAGGCUAUCUGAAAAUAAUAUUGGACAAACAUUUGAUCCUCUUUGAAACAGUGCUUAUUAAUAAAGUUGAUAUACGCCAUCAAGUAACAUAUGAAAUUGACAUUUUGUAGUAAUUUUCACAAUUUAAAUGAACAAAAAAACAGAUCCGUCACAUGGAAACAGUAAGUACACCCCGUACAUGUAUCACACCUUCAAAUCCAUAAAAUUAGAAUCAGGUGUUCAAGAUUGGGUGCCAGUGAUUAGAACCUGCUUAGGGAGUGCAAGUGGAACCGGUCUUAUUUAUACCCCUCUCAUAUCUAGUGUCUGGUGUUCCCUUUGCUAUUGAGGUGUGUGGUGUCAUCAUGCCAAGAUCUAAAGAGUUCUGUAAGG